UGGGGAAUCUUGGACAAUGGGCGCAAGCCUGAUCCAGCCAUGCCGCGUGGAUGAUGAAGGCCCUAGGGUUGUAAAAUCCUUUCGUUGGGGACGAUAAUGACGGUACCCAAAGAAGAAGCUCCGGCUAACUUCGUGCCAGCAGCCGCGGUAAUACGAAGGGGGCUAGCGUUGUUCGGAUUUACUGGGCGUAAAGCGCGUGUAGGCGGGUCGUUAAGUUGGGGGUGAAAUCCCGAGGCUCAACCUCGGAACUGCCUUCAAAACUGGCGACCUGGACUCAAGUAGAGGCAAGUGGAAUUGCGGGUGUAGCGGUGAAAUGCGUAGAUAUCUGGAGGAACACCGGUGGCGAAGGCGACAUCCUGGACCAAUUCUGACGCUGAGGAGCGAAAGCCAGGGGAGCAAACGGGAUUAGAUACCCCAGUAGUCCCUGAGCGGGCUGGCAAGGCGCAU
rnacentral:rRNA from 1 species